rnacentral:lncRNA from 1 species
GUCAUCUUUUAUUUGCUUAUGUAUCCUCCUGAUAUAUUUAAUAACUAUGCAGACGUUGUAAGAUCUGGAGUGCGUCAGCAAUUUAGUCUGGCAGCAACAACCCAGGAUUUACAAGAAAUCACAUGACUGACUAGAAAGGGAACGCCUUUAAGAUGAGGGUGACCAAUCACUUCAUGAAGUAAAACUACACCCCACAUCACUAUAAAACAGCUGCUUCUCCACUUGUAGACAUACGACUCCAGAUACCCAACACAACAGACAGGCAAAGGUAAGGACAUCUAUAAAGUUAUUAUUACAAGACGCAAGCCUGAACCACGUUCUUGUUGCAUGUUUUGAUAUUACAAAUGGGUGUUCCUUCCAAAUUGACAUUCAAAAAGGAAGUAUGAUGAAGUUUAAUAUCUGCGAAUCUUUCGGAAAUACUGCAUAUGCAAUUUAUUUAUUACACAGCCUUCAAUAAUAUGUUUAUUGUAACGAAAGUAACUAAUGAAUACAUGUCAUUAGUAAAUAUAGGCAUUAUGAUGUAGGUAUUAUGAUAUAGGUAUUAUGAUACAGACAUUAUGUUACAGGCAUAAUGAUACAGGUAUUAUGAUAUAGGCAUUAUGAUAUAGGCAUUAUGAUGCAGGCGUUAUGAUGUAGGCGUUAUGAUGUAGGCGUUAUGAUAUAGGCAUUAUGAUGCAGGCGUUAUGAUGUAGGCGUUAUGAUGUAGGCGUUAUGAUGCAGGCGUUAUGAUGUAGGCGUUAUGAUGUAGGCGUUAUGAUGUAGGCGUUAUGAUGUAGUUUUUAUGCACAUUCCUAAAAAAGGACAAAAAUGGUCUUAAUUAUUUAAUACACAUUCUGCAUUUCUAAUGAUGUCUGGCAAUGAAUUCAAUCAUUUGAAGCCUGAACUAUAAAAGCUAUCUUACCCUUUUAAAGAUAGAAUCCUUAACUGAAACAAUAACAAAGUGUAUUCCCUGACCCUGUUCUGCUAAAAAGCUAAGGGAUGGGUCUGGAGAAAUGCAGCCACUCUCAAAUUCAUAGACACAGCAAUCGAAGGACUGACCAUCCGUGACAUAACAUUUAUUUUUAAUGAUGUUGUUGGCUAUACAGUGUUUGUUUACAUUUAUGUUGUAACAUUGGAGUAAAACAAUCUUAGGUCUAGGCCUAGAUCCAAUCAGAUCAAACAUUAACCGGAGAUAGCCGACACCUGCACAGCUGAUGUUUUGGCGGUGUCAGAGGAGUAACUGCGUUGGAGCUGUCAAAUGGUGAGCAGCUGCUCUUGUGAUCAUUGUCACAAAGCCACAUCCAUCCCACUUGUGUUAGAAGUUCAGAACGAGAAAGUGUAGGCUAUAUAGAAAUAUUUUAGCUCUAAUUGAAAAUCAUUAAACAAAAUAGUGUCAAUUUAAACCUUGCACAAGACAGUCCACAGAAUUGUAAAUGUAAAAACAUUUAGCCGACUUAUACAUUACUACAUUUAACUAACAUUCGAUGGUUAAUACAGAGAUUCUUACCUUUGCCCCGAUUCGGCAGUCUCAUUCAGAUUAUCAUGGCAUUUGUAGCUCUUUAUGAUAGCCACAUUAGCAGCUAAUGUAAAUACAGGUGAAUAUAUUGAUAAAGUCACCUUUAUCAAUCCUAGAGAGAUUUACACGGUUAUCAGGGUAAGCCUACACAAAACACAGCCCUUAUUUUAAAGUUUUCUAAAAAUCCCGUAUGGGAAAAAUGUAUGGUGGAAAAACGAUUGUAACCAUUUCCCUGUUUGACCGCUAGGUUUUGUGGGUAUUAUGACUCAUACUGAAUAAUGAGGAUUUAUAUCAGCCUAAUCGAGAUGGAAAUGACAUCUCACAUUCCAGGGAUUGAACUUGUAAAAAGGCUGCAUGGGAUUUAUCUUAAUGCGACAUGGUGUAGCCAAUGGUAAUGUCUCCUUUCCGCUUGUAGAUUUGACAGCUCUAACGCAGUUCCAUCUCCGACACUGCCAAAACAACCGCUAUGUGGAUGUUGGCUAAAUAUCCUCUAUUAAAUAGAGCCCCUAGAUUCAAUCAGAUCAAGCAUUAAUUGGCGAUAGCUAACACCCACAUAGAUGAGGUGCAUUCAGUUCGCUUGAACGUUUGCUACUGAACAACACGUUUCCCCGUUCAACGUUCUUGUACUUUCUUGAACAGACUUUGAGGUACUGUAUGUUUGCUGCCAUUUGGUGUGUGUGGCAAGGUGUGGCUUGAGGCAAUGCGUGACGUAUUUAAAGGGCAGUGGCCAUGCUGAUAGCAUUCCCCAACCCACAACCCAACCCCUCCCCGUUUUUCAACUGGUCGUUUAGUACAGCACCGUGUCCGUUUAAAUGAAUGUUUCAGAACGUAAAAACGUACUGAACGCAGCCCUGAUGUUUUGGAGGUGUCGGGGGUGUAACCAGAGACAGUAGAGAAAGCGAGACACCACACUCCCAAAUGUUUUCUGAUUGGGGCGGAGCCACUUGUGUACUUAUUGCCCUCAGCCUGCUGACGGGGUGCCCCAGGGUGACACAUCUCACUGGCAAAAUGUUUCUGGUCGGGGGUAGGGUGAGUGGAAAGGGGACAUUAAGUCAACUAGAGCCAGCUGUUCCUCUCGAGUGAGCAUGCCAGAUAUUAUAGAGGGAACGUGAGCUCAACAAGAAAAGCUUGCUCAAGUGAUAGAGGAAACGGUCACUUACACAGACAGGAACCUUGAACAUUCUUUUCAAUUGUAAUUGCCUGAGUAAACUAUCUAUGGUGUAACUGUGUUGGAGCUGUCGAGUCGGUGAGCAGCUGCUGUUGUGAUCAUUGUCAUGAAGCCACACCCAUCCCUCUCACUCUGAGAAAGAACAACAAAAGCACUGUCAUCAGAAAACAGGAGGCGUAGGUAUCUUUCUGUUCCCCUGUUAAGAUGGCUUAGUAUUUGUCUGAUUGUCAUGAAAAGCAAAGACUAUCUAAAUGUGAGCGUCUGCAUAUCCCCCACCUCACUUGUUUUAUCUGAUACAUCAACACAGACACCAUGAUGCGCUAUUCAGAAAUCGCUCUGUCAUUUCCUUGGUAUCAAAAAUUUGAAUAGUUAACCUAAUUUCAGCUUGUGACAAAACAAGCAAGUAUAGUGUAGAAAAUAAUUUUGACGUCUAAACCACUGUGAAAUAUAUUUCCAUAAUCAAAAAUAUUGUAUUUUCAGCUGUUUGAAGGUGAUGUACAAAACCGAAAGUAAAAGACGCUAAAAUAAACCUUAAGAACAGGAAGCAUAGAAAUAGUGCCCAUAAAACAGCUAGCUCUUCCGCUUCUUAGACUUGGUUUCAAUGAGUGACAGAUCUGUAACUCACAUUUCUAUGUGAAUUUGGUUGGUCACCCUGCAACUUUAACGUUUGGAAAUAAACCUCUAGUAAUAGUUUAAAAUAUCAUUGUCAUCAGUCAAAAUGUCUAUGUACUUGGCUCUAUUUUUCAGUCUUCAUAUUUUCAGAAUCAUUUUCUUAUGGAUCUUUUAGACCACAGCCUUGUCCUUUCUAAAAAUACACUCUUAUGCCCAAACAGCAGGUGACUCUACACUACAAUAAAUGGUGAUGAGUCGGAGACUCAGAAUCAACUUGUUCCAGAGUGGUUGUGAGCUGGUCAUCUCUGCUGUACUGUGUAGGCUGUAUAGUUCAAUUGUUUCUCCAAUAGGUUGCGCUAUUUUGCAUUAUUGUGCCUAGGAAUAAGUAUCACCAAUAAAUCACACUUCAAACUAUUAGUGUCUGUUAUAGUAGUUUGUACCUGUCUGUAGAAUGCCAUGCAUUUUCAAGGAACCACCAACAUAUGACCUUCAUCUGCAAUUAGGCUAAAAGGUAUUCACAGGUUGAUCAUGACAUGAAGCAAUAUAAACCUAUUUCAGCACAGGAUGGACAGAGGAACAUCAGUCUGUCCACAGGAUCAAUGUGGUUUUAGGGAAAAACUACGUUUGGAAAUGUGAUCAUUGUGUUGUCAGAAUCUCUAUUUUGAAUAUUGUCAUCUUAAUUCAAUCCUUGAUCCCAGAUAUGAUACAAUAAAUGAAAUCCUUUGUCCCAGAUUGGGUAUCAGGAUUACACACACACACACACACACACAAUCCAUUCAGAGCUGUUCAUCUCUGCUUCAAACGCUUAAAAUUUACCAACAGCCUGCACUUUUCUACAAUGAUUGUGCCUGAAAAAUGUCCUACUUGGUUACUCAAAUGCAUAUUGUCAGGUAACUUUGCAUAAUUGAAUCAUCUAUUGCACAGGGUUGUGUUCAAGGAAUGAAUUACAGUUAAAGUAGUUGCCAUUUGACAGUAUUAAUCAAAUAAAGAAUAUAGUAAAUGUAUAGAUAAAUAAAAACGUUUCUAGAAUGUAAAGAGAAUAUCAUUUAUUUGAACUCCUGUCCUACACAGGUCCAUUGUUGAGCAAAGUUGCAGCUGGCACACAAUCUGGGGAAAAAUACAAACCACUGUUAAACUUGUAAACAUCAAUCACAUUCAGUUGUUGUUUUUUUGUGAUCAACACUUUCACAUUUCUGGCUGAAGAUAUAUUGUCCAGGGUAAACAUCACUGUAGAAGUAAUCCGUUUCUUAAAUGAGUGGAAUGUUACCCAGUUGUUCCCCAGGUCUGUAGCAGAGUAUGGUAGCCCACAAACUCAACAUGAUUUGCUCAGGUCAUCUGUGAAAGGAUGGUUGAAUUCAGUCAAUCAUCACACGUUAAGUCAGAGGGACAUUUCCAGUAUGGCAAGUUGUGUGCAUCACCCUACCGGUCUUUCUCAACCACAG